GAACCAUCCUUGUAAAGUUCCACAGUUAUCUGUCCUUUCGAGGUGCUUAUAAGAGCGUAAUUAGGAAUAUCUGAUUUCUUCCGCUCAAUAAACUUUCUGUUUGAUAUACCAUCCUGUGUCUGAAGAAUUGAUCUUCGAGACCAGUAUUUAUAUGUAGAGAACAGGGAAAACACCAUGACAGCAACAAUUAGGAUGUAUACAAUAAUUGUAGGUACACUAACACCACUUGGCGCCUUCUUCUUUUUGCUUUGCAGUAGAAGAGCUUGAGGUUUUAUCCUUGCCAUGACACUUA
rnacentral:misc_RNA from 1 species